CUGAAGGGGGGACAGGCUGUAGGCAAGGCGGCGGUGUGAGGAAAGGUGUCAGGAGAGAGGAGCUCCUUUGGAGGGAGUUAAAUGAGGCGAUGUGUCAGGCAGGCCGCCACAGCCACAAGAGACUGGAGCUUGGGGAGGCAGAGAUUUGAGAGGCAUCAGUACAAAGAUGUGCAUGUACAUGUGUGCAUGUCUGGAAGACAGAGAGAAAUUUGUGGGAGUUAGUUCUUCCUACCAUGGAGGUCUCAAGACUGAUCCACAGCAAGUGCCUGAGGCCUUUAUAUUUCUUCUUACAGAAACAUCUAAAGGAGAGAUCACAUCCUUCAGGCAGUGCUACGGAACUGAAACAGGACUGGAACUCUGCCCGCUGCCCUGCGAGACUUGGAGCACGUGUUCUCCACUCUCUGCAGAGACACAUAAGUCUCAUCUAAGGCUCCCUCUCAUGAGGCCAGUGGAAAAUGCAUGGGUGUGACAGCAUGUGCUCCUGGAAUUGGUGUGUCAUCAGAACAAGGAGAAAGUAUGAGGAGGCGGGCGGAAGAGCACACAGGGAUGUGUUGGUGGCCAUUUCCCAGGCUUCUCAGGAGCAGACUGGCUGAUUCUGUUACAGAGAGUUUCCUUGACUGCAUGGCGAUUUAUAUCUUCACUUCAGCUUCUGCCAUGGAGAGCUCAAUAAAUCAGUGUGUGGUUUAAUACAAGUUGCACACAAGGAACGGAAUGAACGUUUAUGACUGAGAAGGUAAACAAAAAGAGUCGAAGGCUUGGUGAUCAUACUUUGAAACUGCCAUGCCGAGGACCAAUUCCAACUUGAGGAGUGAAGGAGUGGCCCACAACUGUGGAGUGGGCAGAGAGGAGUCUCUCAGAAUCCUGCUGGUGCUCCGCUGAGGAGCCUCCAAGUUGGGGGGUUGGAAGCAGAUUGCUUUCUCCAUUUUUCACUCUCCCCUCCACCCACAGCCACAGAAUGUAGGCACAGAGGUGGUCUUAGAGUGGGUCCAGAGAGAUGGCUCAGCAGUUAAGGACACUGGCAGCUCUUCCAGAGGAUCGGGGUACAAAUCCCAGCAUCCACAUGGUAGCUCACUGCAGUCUGUAAUUCCAAGAUCUUACACUCUCACAUAGUCAUACAUGUAGGUAAAACAC